UACGGAGGGUGCAAGCGUUGUCCGGAAUCACUGGGCGUAAAGGGCGCGUAGGCGGCUCGGUAAGUAGGGGGUGAAAUCCUGCGGCUUAACCGCAGGGCUGCCUUCUAAACUGUCGAGCUUGAGCACGGUAGAGGCAGAUGGAAUUCCCGGUGUAGCGGUGGAAUGCGUAGAGAUCGGGAAGAACAUCAGUGGCGAAGGCGGCUCACUGGCCCGGUACUGACGCUGAGGUGCGAAAGCGUGGGGAGCAAACAGG
rnacentral:rRNA from 1 species